CAAUAGCGUAUAUUAAAGCUGUUGCGGUUAAAAAGCUCGUAGUUGGAUUUCUGUCAAGGACAACUGGUCCGCUCCUCGGGUGAGCACAUAGUUUGGUCUUGGCAUCUUGUUGGAAACUGUUGCUGCACUUGGUUGUGUGGCGCAGUGUCCAGCACUUUCACUUUGAGGAAAUUGGAGUGUUUCAAGCAGGCACAUGCCUUUGGACACAGUAGCAUGGAAUAAUUAGAUUGGGCUUUUGCUCCAACUUGUCGGUUUCUGGAGCUGAGGUGAGAAUUAAUGGGGAUUGUUGGGGGCAUCCGAAUUUAGCCGUCAGAGGUGAAAUUCUUGGAUCUGCUAAAGACGGACAACUGCGAAAGCGUUUGCCCAGGAUGUUUUCAUUGA
rnacentral:rRNA from 1 species